UACGGGGGGAGCAAGCGUUGUUCGGAUUUACUGGGCGUAAAGGGCGCGUAGGCGGCCACCGCAAGUCAGUUGUGAAAGCUCUGGGCUUAACCCAGAACGGUCAGCUGAUACUGCGGGGCUAGAGUGCAGAAGGGGCAACUGGAAUUCUCGGUGUAGCGGUGAAAUGCGUAGAUAUCGAGAGGAACACCUGCGGCGAAGGCGGGUUGCUGGGCUGACACUGACGCUGACAGCGCGAAAGCUAAGGGAGCGAACGGG
rnacentral:rRNA from 1 species